CUACAUAGUUGUCAGUCACGGCGUUCGUACAAUAUGACGUUGUUGAUGAUGCGAUCCUCAACACAGAGUCAUAAUUUUUGCGGACGAAGUAGCGAAAAAAAAUCCUGUUAUAUAUUGCCCGGACGAUAAUUGUAUGUGAAUUGAUCAACAAGCGAUACCUAUCAAUUAUUAAAACAUCAAACAGGACGGUUCAUCGUUCAUGCUAAUCGCUUUUUUAAUUUUUUUACUUCAAUAAUGCAGUUGCUCAUGGAAUUUUUAAAUAUUGGAAUUUUUACAUAUUGAUGAGAACCCUCUCCCCCAUCAUUUCUACUGUAAACAUUAAAUUAUUAAGUUGAUAACUUUUUUGAAAAUGUUGAUGCCUGUUUCUAAUUCAAAAUUCGAACGAGUAGUUUCCAAUGAUGCUUUUGGAAGACUAAAAUACGUAAACGACUUAUUGUUUCGACAUUUUCGUCGUUUUCGGACAUACAUUUUGAAGCCUUUCGUCGGAAAUAGAGUAGUCUUUCAGUCAUCAGCUACUGGAUACUGUCUUGGAGUAGAGUGAAAUGUAUCAAUAUUUUCAAAACUAUAAUUUAUAGGUGGUGGAUACGGUAAAAAUUAUUGGUUACAUUAAACAGACAAAUGCAUUAGUAGUGGUGAUUAUACGUUAUUAUGCCAAAUACUUACAAUAAUAAUUACGUUUUAAAAUUUCAUGCGAUUUAUUGUCUUGAAAUAUUUAUUUAUGUGUGAAAAAAAAAAUAGUUUAUUAUAUCUAAAAAUGUACAGUUAUAAACCUAAAGCAAGAUAAGAUGUUAACGUGUUAACGAGUUGGUUUAUUGUAUGAAAAAAAAAACAGAAAAUAUUAUGGCACAUGCUUAAAUUAUAGUGAAGAAGUUGUUUAAACAAUCGGUAAAAUAAAAAAUGUAAGCAUAAUACAGAAUUUCAACUCUUAAGUUAUUAUAACUCAAAAGCUACUCGACAUCAUAACAUAUUUUAAAACUAGUAUACAAAUAAUUGAUGUUUCUUAUUUAGGACUUAUUGAUUAAGAUAUUUAA